rnacentral:rRNA from 1 species
GACGAACGCUGGCGGCGUGCUUAACACAUGCAAGUCGUACGGUAAGGCCCUUUCGGGGGUACACGAGUGGCGAACGGGUGAGUAACACGUGAGUAACCUUCCCACAACUUUGGGAUAACGCUAGGAAACUGGUGCUAAUACUGGAUAUGUGCCCCUGCUGCAUGGUGGGGGUUGUAAAGCUCCGGCGGUUUUGGAUGGACUCGCGUCCUAUCAGCUUGUUGGUGGGGUAGUGGCCUACCAAGGCGGCGACGGGUAGCCGGCCUGAGAGAGUGACCGGCCACAUUGGGACUGAGAGACGGCACAGACUCCGAAGGGAGGCAGAAGUGGGGAAUAUUGCACAAUGGGCGCAAGCCUGAUGAAGCAACGCCGCGUGCGGGAUGACGGCUUUAGGGUUGUAAACCGCUUUCAGCAGGGAAGAAGCUUUUUGUGACGGUACCUGCAGAAGAAGCACCGGCUAACUACGUG